CACGGCGACAACGCGUGGUCUUCUAUUAUUAGAAACAAAACAUCCAUUGGUAAAUGAGAGAGAGGUAAAGGAAGAAACAUCUCUGAGAAGAUCGAAGGUAUAUAUCUGUCGGCUAGAAGCAGGUUUGGCAAAGCAGUAAGUGAUCUGAAUCACCAUGAUCCCAGUUCAAGACGAGUGUUGUGAAGAGAAAGGGGAGAUCACUGAGUAUUCCAGGAAGCGGGAUGGAAGCCCCAAACCACAGAGUGAUGGUCCAGUGUUAAAACAGCGCAAGGUGAAGGAGGAAGAUUCAAAUCCAAUGACCUCUCACCUUAAUGCAUCAUGGGGUCCGUUGUUUAAGAACCGCCAACAUUUUGUGGAUUUGCAUGUCUGUUAACACUCAAGUCCAUGAUCAACAUUCAUCGUCAUAUAAUUCUCAGCUGUUAGCUUGUGUGAUGCAACACAUUUCCAUCUUGUAUCGCCCGUCAUCUACACUCUCCAAGUUCUUCUCAACCAAGUAUGUUUUAUUCAAAGACUGUCACAGGAACGUGAUGUCCUCUCAGACACCGUAUACUUUUCAAAAGGUUGUGAUAUUCUGAAGUGUAUAAACUGUUCAGAUUGAUUCAAAUCCAGCUCACUAUGAUGGCGAUGAAGCUGUGGAAAGAUGCCAUGCUGCAGUUGUGUCUACUCAGACUUAUUUUUGUGAUGAUCCACAUGCAGCGAGGUUUCUUCAUACCAGACUUUCAGAAAAGAGGGACUUUGGCCAGUUUCUGAGAUCAUCAUGCCUGUUUACAUAACCACUUCUUGAUCACUACACUGUUCUCAUCAUUGUACAUAUCCAUUCUAAACAGCAACUUCAUUUCAUUGUGUACGUAUCCUAUGGAUACUGUAGAUAUGAUGUAUAUAUCAUUUGAUUUGUCACUUACAGUUAAUAAUUUGGUGGACUGGCAUUCAUGUUUUGGCUGAGAUUAUUUCAGAUAAAAACACUUUGUCUUUUGUUGCCAAUGUUUCUGAAUGUAGGGUGUUAAUGUAUGGAUAGUCUUUAAAUACACAUUUAGUCUAAGGGAGAGAACUUGGAAGGCCUAAGGGAGACAACUGGUAGGCCUACCUGUGAUGGAUGAAUGUUAGUUUCUAAAUUUUACUUGUUGUUUGAAGACAAACACCUAGAGCCUACCUCAUUUGGUAAAAAUGUGCAUAGAGUUUGGUCAUUGUGUAUUGCAGUCUUGUACACAACAGUAAAAUGUACAGUUUUACGUGCUAGAAGAUUUUAUGGUUGCUUCAAGUACUUCUGACAUUAACUGAUAGCAAGAAAUAAGAAUGGCUGUGUCCUUGGGUAUGAUUCUUAUGUAGAAUGUUCAAGGAGAAUUGCCAGUGUAGUGAAUAACUUUCUAUCCAGUGCCAUAUUUUCAUAAUAGGUAUGUUAAACUAUACAUUUACAUGUUUUAGGUUAAUAUUUACAUGGUUUAAAUAAACAUUAUCAGAUAAUGA